rnacentral:rRNA from 1 species
GAUGAACGCUAGCGGCAGGCUUAAUACAUGCAAGUCAAGGGGGUAGCAAUACAACCGGCGCACGGGUGAGUAACGCGUACACAACAUACCAUAUACUGGAGUAUAGCUUUGGGAAACUGAAGGUAAUCCUCCAUAACAUUGCGAGAGGGCAUCUGAUUGCAAUUAAAGUUUCGGCGGUAUAUGAUUGGUGUGCGUUUGAUUAGCUAAUUGGUAGGGUAACGGCCUACCAAGGCGACGAUCAAUAGCUGGCGGGAGAGCGCGACCAGCCACACUGGAACUGAGACACGGUCCAGACUCCUACGGGAGGCAGCAGUAGGGAAUAUUGGACAAUGGAGGAAACGUACUGAUCCAGCCAUGCCGCGUGAUAGAUGAAGG